GUCUUUCACUGGCAAGGAUGUGGAG
rnacentral:misc_RNA from 1 species